UGCAACGGUGGAGGACGGUGUUCAUUGGAAAUCGCCAACAACUCUCAGGACUUGUUCUUCUACUUACAACAACAUCUGAAGGAAGAUUACUACCAGUUUCAAGUUUGUAGCGGCCAUCAUCUUCGAUUCCAUCUAGCGAGCACUGAUCGUUGAUUCCCUUUCCACUUGGAGCAAAUUGGAGUUGUUGGUUGGGGAUAAAGUUA